rnacentral:tRNA from 1 species
AGUUAAUAAGUUUAAAACAUAUAUUUUGAAAAUAUAAAUUAGAAUUUAAAAUAUUCUAUUAACUU